CAGCACCUCAAGUGGUCAGGAUGAUUAUUGGGCCUAAAGCAUCCGUAGCCGGCGCUGUAAGUUUUCGGUUAAAUCUGUACGCUCAACGUACAGGCUGCCGGGAAUACUGCAGCGCUAGGGAGUGGGAGAGGUAGACGGUACUCGGUAGGAAGGGGUAAAAUCCUUUGAUCUAUUGAUGACCACCUGUGGCGAAGGCGUCUGACCAGAACACGUCCGACGGUGAGGGAUGAAAGCUGGGGGAGCAAACCGGAUUAGAUACCCGAGUAGUCC
rnacentral:rRNA from 1 species